rnacentral:piRNA from 1 species
AAACACGUAGCUACUGAUUAAUAAUCUGG